UACGAAGGGGGCUAGCGUUGCUCGGAAUCACUGGGCGUAAAGGGUGCGUAGGCGGGUCUUUAAGUCAGGGGUGAAAUCUCGGAGCUCAACUCCAGAACUGCCUUUGAUACUGAGGAUCUUGAGUACGGGAGAGGUGAGUGGAACUGCGAGUGUAGAGGUGAAAUUCGUAGAUAUUCGCAAGAACACCAGUGGCGAAGGCGGCUCACUGGCCCGUAACUGACGCUGAGGCACGAAAGCGUGGGGAGCAAACAGG
rnacentral:rRNA from 1 species